UACCCGCUGAAUUUAAGCAUAUCAAUAAGCGGAGGAAAAGAAACUAACCAGGAUUCCCCCAGUAACGGCGAGUGAAGCGGGAAAAGCCCAGCACCGAAUCCCCCGGCGACACCGUCGGCGGGAACUGUGGUGUAUGGGACGCCAACAGCCUUGCCCGGACGGCACACAAGUCCUCCUGAUAGAGGCCCUUCCCCGUGCGGGUGUGAGGCCUUUGGACGGUGCCCGUCCGGCUCGGCCGUGAGCGUCUCCGGAGUCGGGUUGUUUGAGAAUGCAGCCCUAAGCGGGUGGUAAAUUCCAUCUAAGGCUAAAUACCUGUGCGAGUCCGAUAGUUGACAAGUACCGUGAGGGAAAGUUGAAAAGAACUUUGAAGAGAGAGUUCAACAGUACGUAAAACCGCUCAAAGGUAAACGGGUGGAACCGCAACACGCACUGCCCGCGGGAUUCAGCCCGUCCCGGCCGCCCCUCCACGCGUCCCCGCGCAGGGGCACCACCGUCACUGGUGGAGCCCCAGGGAUCGCGAGGAGCUCGGGCCGGCCGGCGGUGGGUGCAUUUCCCGCGGGCGGUAAGCCACGACCGGUUUCGGGGCGGCGAUGAGCCCUCCGGGGAAGGUAGGGUCGGACGGGCCCGCGAUACGCCUUCGCGCGCCUCGCCCGACCGACCCGUUACAGCCCCGGGCGGGAUCGCGCCCGCUCUCGAGACCGAGGAUGACCGCAAUUGCUACCGUCCCCGCCAGCGUCGCCCGCGCCCGGCCUCCGCUAGUCUCAGGAGUGCCCGGGCUCGCGGGUUCGACCGGCCGGGGUGUCGCAGUAGGGUCCGUGGUGAAGCAGUCGGCACUCCACCCGACCCGUCUUGAAACACGGACCAAGAAGUCUGGCGUGCGCGCGAGUCAAUGGGUCGUCCGAAACCCCAGGGCGCAGCGAAAGCGAAAGGUGGGAUCCCCCGCGCCGGGCUCAAUUGAAAAACCUCGGUCGGAGGCGCACCACCGGCCCGCCCCUGUGUCGCCGCCGCCGUCCCCUUUCGCGCGGGGGGGCGGUGGAUGUCGGCGGGGCGGAGCUAGAGCGCGCACGCCGGGACCCGAAAGAUGGUGAACUAUGCCUGAGCAGGCCGAAGCCAGAGGAAACUCUGGUGGAAGGCGGAAG
rnacentral:rRNA from 1 species